rnacentral:lncRNA from 1 species
CCGGAAGUGCGGAUCCCAGCGGCGGUCGUGUAGCUGAGCAGGCCUGGGGCUUGGUUCUAUGUCCCUGUAGCUAUGUUUCCAGUGUCCUCUGGGUGUUUCCAAGAGCAACAAGAAACGAAUAAAUCUCUGACCCUUCUCAGGUGCAGCCAGAGAGACACUAGCCCACUGAUGGACGGACAGACGUGGGCAGGGUCCGUGUCACUAAACCACCCACCACUGCCACAGCUGCCUACAACAGACACAUCAGAUGACACUCCGGGCAUAUAAAUGAUUUUCACUGAGGACUUACUGGUUUUAAUAAUAGGUCCUGGUGUAGAGAAGUCCCUCAACCUAUUGUGCAAUGAGUUUUGAGAAGCGGGUAAGCUGUAUGUUUUGUGGUUUUGUUUCAUAAAUGCAUCUACAGGAAGACCAAUAUUGACUGAAUGAAGCUUUCAUUUAAAGAGCUAAAAUAUGCUUUGUGUUUUUAUAUGUGGAUACUACUUUAAACCUAAUGACUAUUCAUUGUAUCAUAGCUUGUGAUGUAUUCUGCUCAUGGCUUUUAAGGUAAAUUGUGCCAUGAUCCACUGCCAUUCGAAUUGCUUUAACAAGUCAUUACCACACUACUGUUACAUCUUAAUUAUGCAUACAGACAGGUAGACUUAUUUUACAUAUGUGAACUAACUAGUUGUCAAAGCAAAUGCAGAUUGUAUUCUGCAAGUAAAGUCUUUUUCUCUCUGUAAUUUCUAGGGAUGUUCUUUAAGUGAAAUUCAUAUUCAAACUGAAGAUUUUAGUUACAAGAACUGAGUGCAGAUUAAAGUCUUUUGUGAUUCAAACAUAGUCAAGAGUACAACUGUGAUAUUUCAUGGAAGUUAUGCAAUAAAAUGUCUCUAACCUGUGAACAAAUCUAUCAAGCAGACGGCACAGUACUGAAUUUGAAACCAGAAAUACUGGGUUUUUAUAUAAAUGCUUCAUAGAUUUGUUUUAUGAUAAAGGGCACAUAACUCUCCUAAACCUCACACCACCUCUUGAAUAGGUAUAAUAAGUCCACAUCAAUGCU